GUAUGUGAAGUAGUACUCUAAAGAUCUUACUUUUAAAAGGUAAGUUAAACACACACAAAAAGGUGUUCUCAGGGUGUUGUCAAGGGAGGCUUGGUGCAUGGUUUAAUUUCCUGAGAGGGGACUCAGGGGUUGGAGAAGCAUUCCUCCUUAGAAUCAUAGAAUUGUAGUGUUGGAAGGGACCUUAAGAGUCAUCUAGCCCGACCCUCAUGCAAUGCUGGAAUCUUUUGCUUAACAUGCAGCUUGAACCCACAACCCUGAGAUUAAAAGUCUCUACCAUUCUAAGUAUGUGGGACAUGCUGCUUUUGCUUAUGACUGAGAAAAAAGGCAGUCUGUUUAUGAUUGGGGCACUCCUGUUUAAAUUACAAUAUUACUUCAAAUCAAUUUUGUCAGAGAUGGCAUUGGUAGGCCAUCUGCUUUGCAUGCCUAAGGCAUUGGGUUCAAGCCAUGGUGGCGUUCCCUGGUGAGCUGUACAGGUGAGCAGGAAUUCAAACAGGGUGAGAUCCAGAUUCCAAGUCCAACAUGACAGACACUACAUCACACCACACCCCAGUCUCAUCUUUCUGGAUGUCUGUGUUGGCAGAUACAGUAUUCUGAGAUAGCUGGGUUGGUCAAGGCAAAUUAAUGAUGCAACAUAGAUCUAACUCUUAUAUUUUUGCCCAGUCUUUCUUUGAAGGAGCUCAGGGUGGCCUUGCGGUUUCCUCUUGCCCAUUUUUAUCCUCACUACAAACCUUUGAGGUAGGUGAAUCUGAAAGAGAAUACCUAACUGGCCCAAGGCCACCAAGUGAAUUUAAUGGCUAAGCGGGAAUUCAAACUGGGUGAAACCCAGAUUCAAAGUCCCAAUGCUAUGGCCACUCUGUCACACUGGCCUCCACGUAUGCCAACUUGCUGUUAUACUGAAGGACUGUUAGCUGUGAACAUUUUAAAACAGCAAACCCAUUCAGUGCAAGAACAUGCAUAGUCACACACAAACACUGAAACUCCUCAAGUGACAUGGGGACCAAGGGUGGGGAACUUCGGGCCCAGGUGCCAAAUGCGGCCCUCAGAAUCUCACUGCCUGGUCCUUGGGACCCUCCCCACACCACUCCCCUUCCCCAGCCACGCCCCCUCUUCCCUGGCCACUUUCCUUACUGCCCCUGCUUUGCGUCCUUGGCUGGAGGAUUUUAACCUUACAAUUAUUUAUUAAAGGCCCCUCCCUAGCCUUUUCUUUAGUACUCAGAUGCCAAACCCUAGGGCUACACAACCUGUUUUGUGACAUCAGAGCAGCUCAGCCAAUGGCAGAAAAGAGGGUGUGUAUGAGACACAGACACCUCUGUUUGUUCAGCCACACUCUCUCACACACUUCUUUCUAACAGGCCAUGGGCAUAACAGUCUGCUAAAUAAUUGACACCCCCCCUUCACUGUUUGUACUUGGCGUGGGAAUGCAUUAUAGAAAGGGCAGGGAACAAAAAGAGUUGACAAAGAUGCAACAGGCUCAUCCCAGAGGCAACAAUCCAGUUAUUGGGAUUUCCCAUCUACACACACGUCUCUUUUUUGUCUUUUUUUAAAAAAGUAAGGUAAAUUAGGAUGAUGAAAUCUACCUCUCUCUAACCUGACAGCAAUUUUUCAGCAUGGGAAAACUGUGCUGUACUGAUGCCCAGAUGUUGUCGCUGCAGAUGAGGUUGAUCAGAUGUAAACUACUAAGGUUAUUUUCCCCAGAAGGAAUCAGUAUCCAUCUGCUUUGUGUGUGUGUGUGGUGUUGUUCUGCGUAGCUAGAAUUUUAGCAUUUGGCAUCAACACCAAGUCUCCCCACCAUCGCACCUGAAUAUUUUUAAGGGGUAUGUGAGCCAAGUGGCCUAGGUUUUCACAGAAUGUCCACCACCUGCUGAUUUGAGAGAAGGAUGGGGAACCUGUGGUUGCCUACCUAUGUCUCAGGUCACACCCACACCAUACAUUUAAAGCACAUGGCUUUCCCCAAAGAAUUCUGAGAACUGAGGUUUAAGAGUGCUGGGAAUUUUAGCUCUGUGAAGCAUCGACUGCAGUUCCCAGGAUUCCAUGGGGGAAGCCACUUAUUUUAAAUACUUGUGAAAGCUCUGCAAAUGUAUGGUGUGGAACCGCCUUGUUUUUAUGAACAGUGGCAUAGUGAAGCAGGAAGGGAGUGCAGGCACUUAUUUCACAGCAGGGAUGAUGAUGUUGCCUCCUAGGGUUUUAUUUGCCAAUCAAUAAGCUUUUCUCAGAGAGAAACCAACCAAAUAAGCCAAGCAGAAGAACAGGUAACUUACAUGAGCAUGCAUGCUAAGAGUUAAACUGACACUUUUUUUGGGGGGGGGGGGGAUGAUGACAUAAAAAUCCUUUUAUUAUGACCAAAGUGAUCCAAAAUGGUGGGCAAGCUUUUAAGUCCACCAGAACUUAUUACCAGGCCAGAUAUUAAGUUUGAGGCAGGGGAAGCCAACUUUGUAUUCAAGCUAUAUAACAUCCAUAUUGGUCAAAAAAUCAUUUCUGUUGAAUAGUUUUAGGGUGCUUCCAGAUAAGCUGUUCAUUGUGCAUUUAUCCUUAUUUGAUUGCAGGGAGGUUAGACAAUGUUGGCUAUUUGUGUGUGGGGGGGGGGAGCAGUCUGUGGGGAAGAGUUUGUUGUGAGUGGGCUCCCAAAUCAACUUUUAAUUGUGCAACCAGAAUUUGCCAGCAUGUGAUGGAAUAUCACCCCAAAAUAGUGCUAGCCUGCACGUGACCUUAGAACCAUGACAAUGAGGGCCUUCAUAUCAGAAUUUAGCACUACAACACUGCUUAUGAAUCUUGUCGUGAUGCUAAGUCUCUGAACAACAGAGCUGGCAACAUUUGGGAGCUGAACCCCUUGGCAGCUAUUAUAUAGAUCUGAUCUGGCAGUGCGUGGGACAGGAUGGAUGGAGCUGGGUGUGUGUUGCGAUGCUUCCGAGUAAAUUCAGCUUCCAUUCACCACAUAACC